rnacentral:rRNA from 1 species
UACGUAGGUGGCAAGCGUUGUCCGGAAUUACUGGGUGUAAAGCGCGUGUAGGCGGGAGGCCAAGUCUGCUGUGAAAUCGCUCGGCUCAACUGGGCGGGGUCGGUGGAAACUGGUCACCUGGAGGACGGUAGAGGCGAGUGGAAUUCCUGGUGUAGCGGUGGAAUGCGCAGAUAUCAGGAGGAACACCGAUGGCGAAGGCAGCUCGCUGGGACGGUACUGACGCUGAGGCGCGAAAGCGUGGGGAGCGAACAGG